GACAGAGGGUGCAAACGUUGUUCGGAAUUACUGGGCGUAAAGCGCGUGUAGGCGGCCAUGCAAGUCGGAUGUGAAAGCCCUCGGCUCAACCGGGGAAGUGCACUCGAAACUGCAAGGCUAGAGUCUCGGAGAGGAUCGUGGAAUUCUCGGUGUAGAGGUGAAAUUCGUAGAUAUCGAGAGGAACACCGGUGGUGAAGGCGGCGAUCUGGACGAUGACUGACGCUGAGACGCGAAAGCGUGGGGAGCAAACAGG
rnacentral:rRNA from 1 species